rnacentral:rRNA from 1 species
CCUACGGGAGGCAGCAGUGAGGAAUAUUGGUCAAUGGACGAGAGUCUGAACCAGCCAAGUAGCGUGAAGGAUGACUGCCCUAUGGGUUGUAAACUUCUUUUAUAAAGGAAUAAAACGAGGCACGUGUGCCGUUUUGCAUGUACUUUAUGAAUAAGGAUCGGCUAACUCCGUGCCAGCAGCCGCGGUAAUACGGAGGAUCCGAGCGUUAUCCGGAUUUAUUGGGUUUAAAGGGAGCGUAGAUGGGUUGUUAAGUCAGUUGUGAAAGUUUGCGGCUCAACCGUAAAAUUGCAAUUGAUACUGGCAGUCUUGAGUACAGUUGAGGUAGGCGGAAUUCGUGGUGUAGCGGUGAAAUGCUUAGAUAUCACGAAGAACCCCGAUGGCGAAGGCAGCUUACUAAACUGUGACUGACAUUGAUGCUCGAAAGUGUGGGUAUCAAACAGGAUUAGAUACCCCAGUAGUC